rnacentral:lncRNA from 1 species
GAAAGCUUUAUGAUGCACACUCCCCUUGUGAUGUCCAGCAAAAAGACAUUACAUUUGGGCUUUUUCCCUUCCUGCUUCCCAUGAGCAAUGGUUCAUCAGGCUCAGACCGGAGACAUUCGCACACUCUGUAUUUCAGAUGGGAAUUCUUCUUAAUGAUGGUUUCAAAACACUCAGUGGAUGAUUCCAAUGAAAGGACAGCGGAAUAGCGGGGACCCAUCAAAAAUCUGGAAACAUUUCUAAUUCUGCUGUGGCCAUUUCUGGAACAGAAUUCCCACUAAAUCACCAUGGCACUUAAAUAAGUGAAAACUGCCCGAUGGUUUCCCCUGAAACAUUGCUGUUGAAUGACACUGCCCCGAGGGGCUGGAAAAAUUGAGAAGCACCCUGACAUUAUGAGCGCUUGCUGGGGAUGAUGGCUUUGGUAAAAUUUGCUUGAUGAUAGCUCAGAUUGUUAGCUGCUGCUCUCUGACAUUACAGUUUGUAUCGAUACGUGGCAUACAGCAUGCAAUUUCUUCAUAUGGAAGCUUUAGAAAACAGUAACUUCUGACGCAAUCUCGAGCUGAUUUCAGAAGCAAAGCCCAAGAAAUUAUACUGUUUCAGAACCACCAGCUGUUUGCACCCUUGGACACGCUGAGAUACUUUAUGGGCUGUCAUUUCCGUGGUUGCAAUGAAC